rnacentral:rRNA from 3 species
UACGGAGGGUGCGAGCGUUGUCCGGAAUCACUGGGCGUAAAGGGCGCGUAGGCGGCGCGGGAAGUCAUCGGUGAAAGUUCAGGGCUCAACUCUGAAUCGGCCGGUGAUACUCUCGUGCUCGAGCACUGUAGAGGCAGGUGGAAUUCCGGGUGUAGCGGUGGAAUGCGUAGAGAUCCGGAAGAACACCGGUGGCGAAGGCGGCCUGCUGGGCAGUAGCUGACGCUGAUGCGCGACAGCGUGGGGAGCAAACAGG